rnacentral:rRNA from 1 species
AGAGAGAGACAUGCGCGCAUAUCAAUAAGCGGAGGAAAAGAAACUAACAAGGAUUCCCUAGUAACGGCGAGUGAAGCGGGAAGUAGCUCAAAUUUGAAAUCUUCAAGGUUCUACCUUGACGAAUUAUAGUUUAUAGAAGUGUUUUCUGUUAGUGGAGUGGCAAAAGUUCUUUAGAAUAGGACAUCAUAGAGGGUGAGAAUCCCGUAUUUGGUCAUUCCUCCUAGCGUUGUGAUACACUUUCAACGAGUCGGAUUGUUUGGGAAUGCAGUCCAAAAUGGGUGGUAAAUUUCAUCUAAAGCUAAAUAUUGGCGAGAGACCGAUUAGCGAACAAGUACCGUGAGGGAAAGAUGAAAAGAACUUUGAAAAGAGAGUUAAACAGUACGUGAAAUUGUCAAAAGGGAAGCGUUUGACACCAGUGUCGUUUUUCCGAAGAUCAAUUACGAAUGUUUUAUUUUUGAGGAGUUAUGACUUCAUCGGCUUGCUCCUUUCUUUACGAAACUUUCUUAAUGCACUUUUCGGUUAACAAGUCAACAUCAAUUUCUUUUGUUGUAAAAGGGUAUGAGGAAGGUGGCUUUCUUUUCGGAGAAAGUGUUUAUAGCCUUGUGCCUCUGCAAUCGGAGAGAUUGAGGUCUGCAGCGUAGAUCCUUCGGGGUUAGAUACGUUUGUGCUAAGUUAUAGCUUUUCAUAGACAACUUGUUGACUAUGUUUAGUCUUGUAGCUUACUCGCUUACUGCUAUUUUACCUACGCUUAGGAUGUUGAUAGUCACAGCGUGUAC